AGAAUCAACGCUGGCGGCGUGCCUAACACAUGCAAGUCGAACGAGAAAGUGGAGCAAUCCAUGAGUAAAGUGGCGCACGGGUGAGUAACACGUGACUAACCUACCCUUGAGUGGGGGAUAACCUAGAGAAAUCUGGGCUAAUACCGCAUAAUACCUUCGGGUCAAAGGAGCAAUUCGCUUAAGGAGGGGGUCGCGGCCGAUUAGUUAGUUGGCGGGGUAAUGGCCCACCAAGACUGUGAUCGGUAUCCGGCCUGAGAGGGCGCACGGACACACUGGAACUGAAACACGGUCCAGACUCCUACGGGAGGCAGCAGUGGGGAAUUUGCGCAAUGGGGGAAACCCUGACGCAGCAACGCCGCGUGGAGGAUGAAGCCCCUUGGGGCGUAAACUCCUUUCGAUCGGGAAGAUAAUGACGGUACCGAGAGAAGAAGCCCCGGCUAACUUCGUGCCAGCAGCCGC
rnacentral:rRNA from 1 species